UUCUGGUUGAUCCUGCCGGAGGCUACCGCUAUUGGAGUUCGAUUAAGCCAUGCGAGUCGCGAGUCUUAGGGACUCGGCGUACCGCUCAGUAAGCACGUGGGUAACCUGCCCUAUGCUGGGAGAUAACCUCGGGAAACUGAGAAUAAUACCCCAUAGUUCACUACGCCUGGAACGGUGAGUGGAUGAAAGCUCCGGCGGCAUAGGAUGGGCCUGCGGCGUAUCAGGUUGUAGGGGGUGUAACGUACCCUCUAGCCCUCUACGCGUACGGGUGUUGGGAGACAUAGCCCGGAGAUGGAUUCUGAGACACGAAUCCAGACCCUACGGGGUGCAGCAGGCGCGAAAACUUGACAAUGCGAGAAACUCUGUGAUCAGGGAACUCCAAGUGGCUGGGGUACGACCCAGUCUUUAUCUUGACUCUUCAGAGGUCUUGGAAUAAGGGGUGGGUAAUGACRGUGCCAGCCGCCGCGGUAAUACCAGCGCCUCAAGUGGUAGUCGCUUUUAUUGGGCCUAAAACGUCCGUAGCCGGUCUGAUACAUUCGUGGGUAAAUCAACUAGCUCAACUAGUUGAAUUCUGCGAGGACGGUCAGACUUGGGACCGGGAGAGGUGUGGGGUACGCUCAGGGUAGGGGUAAAAUCCUGUCAUCCUAAGCGGACCACCUGUUGCGAAGGCGCCACACUAGAACGGAUCCGACGGUCAGGGACGGAGCCUAGGGGCACGAACCGGAUUAGAUACCCGGGUAGUCCUAGGUGUAAACGCUGUGGACUUGAUGUUGGGGGCGCUCCGAGCGCUUCCAGUGUCGAAGCGAAGGUGAUAAGUCCACUGCCUGGGAAGUACGGUCGCAAGGCUGAAACUUAAAGGAAUUGGCGGGGGAGCACCGCAACCUGAGGAUUGUGCGGUUUAAUUGGAUUCAACGCCGGGA
rnacentral:rRNA from 1 species